rnacentral:rRNA from 1 species
AGAGUUUGAUCCUGGCUCAGGAUAAACGCUGGCGGUGUACAUAAGACAUGCAAGUCGAACGGGAGAAGACAGGAAGAUUUAUCUACUUGUUGGACACCGUGGCGGACGGGUGAGUAACACGUAAGCAACCUGCCUAUAAGAGGGGAAUAACAGUGAGAAAUUACUGAUAAUACCGCAUAAGCUGGAGGUAUCGCAUGAUACAUUCAGAAAAGAUUUAUCGCUUAUAGAUGGGCUUGCGUCUGAUUAGCUAGUUGGUGAGAUAACAGCUCACCAAGGCGACGAUCAGUAGCCGGAUUGAGAGGUUGAACGGCCACAUUGGGACUGAGACACGGCCCAGACUCCUACGGGAGGCAGCAGUCGGGAAUAUUGCACAAUGGAGGAAACUCUGAUGCAGUGACACCGCGUAUAGGAAGAAGGUCUUAGGAUUGUAAGCUAUUGUCGUGUGAGAAGAAAAUGACCAUCACAGGAGGAAGCCCUGGCUAAAUAUGUGCCAGCAGCCGCGGUAAUACAUAUGGGGCGAGCGUUAUCCGGAUUUAUUGGGUGUAAAGGGUGCGUAGGCGGGAAAAUAAGUCAGUAUGUGAAAUCCCUCGGCUCAACUGAGGAACUGCAACUGAAACUAUUUUUCUUGAGUGUUGAAGGGGAAAGUGGAAUUCCUAGUGUAGCGGUGAAAUGCGUAGAGAUUAGGAGGAACACCAGUGGCGAAGGCGACUUUCUGGGCAACAACUGACGCUGAGGCACGAAAGUGUGGGGAGCAAACAGGAUUAGAUACCCUGGUAGUCCACACCGUAAACGAUGGAUACUAGGUGUUGGCAAUGAAUAAUUGUCGGUGCCGGCGCUAACGCAAUAAGUAUCCCACCUGGGGAGUACGACCGCAAGGUUGAAACUCAAAGGAAUUGACGGGGGCCCGCACAAGCGGUGGAGCAUGUGGUUUAAUUCGAAGCAACGCGAAGAACCUUACCAGGUCUUGACAUCCCUCUGACCGCUCUAGAGAUAGAGUUUUCCUUCGGGACAGAGGUGACAGGUGGUGCAUGGUUGUCGUCAGCUCGUGUCGUGAGAUGUUGGGUUAAGUCCCGUAACGAGCGCAACCCCUAUGGCUAGUUGCUAACAUUAAGUUGAGGACUCUAGCAAGACUGCCGUUGUUAAAACGGAGGAAGGUGGGGACGACGUCAAAUCAUCAUGCCCUUUAUGUCCUGGGCUACACACGUACUACAAUGGGUAAGACAGAGGGAAGCGAAAGUGCGAACUGGAGCAAAACCCUAAACUUAUUCUCAGUUCGGAUUGGAGUCUGAAAUUCGGCUCCAUGAAGCUGGAAUUGCUAGUAAUGGCAGGUCAGCAUACUGCCGUGAAUACGUUCCCGGGCCUUGUACACACCGCCCGUCACACCAUGAGAGUUAGAAAUACCCGAAGCCUGUGAGCUAACAGUUUAAUAUUGAGGCAGCAGUCGAAGGCAGAGCUAAUGAUUGGGGUGAAGUCGUAACAAGGUAGCCGUAGGAGAACCUGCGGCUG